GACGAACGCUGGCGGCGUGCUUAACACAUGCAAGUCGAACGGAAAGGCCCUGCUUUUGUGGGGUGCUCGAGUGGCGAACGGGUGAGUAACACGUGAGUAACCUGCCCUUGACUUUGUGAUAACUUCAGGAAACUGGGGCUAAUACCGGAUAGGAUCUCCUGCUGCGUGUGGGGGGUUGGAAAGUUUCGGCGGUUGGGGAUGGACUCGCGGCUUAUCAGCUUGUUGGUGGGGUAGGGGCUUACCAAGGCUUUGACGGGUAGCCGGCCUGAGAGGGUGACCGGCCACAUUGGGACUGAGAUACGGCCCAGACUCCUACGGGAGGCAGCAGUGGGGAAUAUUGCACAAUGGGCGGAAGCCUGAUGCAGCAACGCCGCGUGCGGGAUGACGGCCUUCGGGUUGUAAACCGCUUUCGCCUGUGACGAAGCGUGAGUGACGGUAAUGGGUAAAGAAGCACCGGCUAACUACGUG
rnacentral:rRNA from 1 species